UGUAGAUUCGGGAAUCGAACCCAGGCCGCCCGCGUGGCAGGCGAGCAUUCUACCACUGAACCAC